rnacentral:rRNA from 1 species
UACAGAGGUGGCAAGCGUUGUUCGGAAUUACUGGGCGUAAAGGGCGCGUAGGCGGUCUUGUAAGUCUUGUGUGAAAUCCCUCGGCUCAACUGAGGAACUGCACGGGAUACUGCGAGACUUGAGUUCGGGAGAGGGAAGCGGAAUUCCGGGUGUAGCGGUGAAAUGCGUAGAUAUCGGGAAGAACACCCGUGGCGAAGGCGGUUCUCUGGGACGGUACUGACGCUGAGACGCGAAAGCGUGGGGAGCGAACAGG